rnacentral:rRNA from 1 species
AUGAACGCUGGCGGCGUGCCUAAUCCAUGCAAGUCGAGCGAACAGACGAGGAGCUUGCUCCUCUGACGUUAGCGGCGGACGGGUGAGUAACACGUGGAUAACCUACCUAUAAGACUGGGAUAACUUCGGGAAACCGGAGCUAAUACCGGAUAAUAUAUUGAACCGCCUGGUUCAAUAGUGAAAGACGGUUUUGCUGUCACUUAUAGAUGGAUCCGCGCCGCAUUAGCUAGUUGGUAAGGUAACGGCUUACCAAGGCAACGAUGCGUAGCCGACCUGAGAGGGUGAUCGGCCACACUGGAACUGAGACACGGUCCAGACUCCUACGGGAGGCAGCAGUAGGGAAUCUUCCGCAAUGGGCGAAAGCCUGACGGAGCAACGCCGCGUGAGUGAUGAAGGUCUUCGGAUCGUAAAACUCUGUUAUUAGGGAAGAACAAAUGUGUAAGUAACUAUGCACGUCUUGACGGUACCUAAUCAGAAAGCCACGGCUAACUACGUG